CAUAACUGUAGAAACCACCACUUGCUGGUUUCUCCGGCGACUGGUUGACUGACCUGACGCCAUGUCUACGGUGGCGCAACUCGCUGUCGUUACUGGAACUUGCUGUAAUUUUCAUCGAACUUCUAAAUGCUUGGGUUUUUCCUUCCACAAUUUGACCUCCGUUGUCGCCACCACCCGCAUCCGUACUGCUACAAUCAGGAACAGAGCUAAAGCUCCUUUAUCUGUCACUUGCUCAGCAGCUAAGCCGUCGUCCUCCACCGAAAUCAGUUCUACAGCCAGGAUUAGGAGUGAAGUUCUUACUCCUUUCAGAUCCGUCAGGAUGUUCUUUUAUAUUGCCUUUGUUGCACAAGCUUCUCUUGGUGGACUGAUAGCUACUACACAACUUAUUGGUGCUCUGGCUAAUCCUUCAAGAGCAGAUGCAGUCACUGAUAUUACCAAGGGACUUGGCAUAGACAUAGGAGCUGCAUCUCUGUUUGCAUUUCUGUACUAUAGAGAAAACAAAAUUAAGAAUGCCCAGAUGGCCAGGCUCUCAAGAGAAGAGAACCUCUCAAACCUUAAACUGCGGGUAGAUGAAAAGAAGAUUAUUACUGUUAGUGAAUUUAGGGGACUUGCCCGUCUUGUGAUCCUUGCUGGACCUUCAUCAUUCAUUACAGAGGCUUUCAGACUUAGUGAGAUGUUUACUGAGCAACUUAUAGAAAGAGGGGUGCUUGUGGUGCCUUUCUCCACAGAUGGAAAUGCACCUACUUUUGAGUUUGAUGAGACUGAAGACAUGGAGGAGCUAACAAACAAAAGAAGAAGGCUCUGGCAGCUUGUACCUGUCCUCACGCCAGAAUGGUCCGAGUGGUUAGAUGAUCAGAAGAAACUGGCCAAUGUAUCACCUGAAUCUCCUGUGUAUUUAUCUUUACGGUUGGAUGGUCGUGUUCGUGGGAGUGGUGUGGGUUAUCCACCUUGGAAUGCUUUUGUAGCACAAUUACCUCCAGUAAAAGGAAUGUGGUCUGGCCUUCUUGAUGGCAUGGAUGGAAGAGUCCUUUGAGAAUCAUUUAGCCAUCCAAAUUUAUGGAGUUUAUUCCAAUACUUGGUGGCAUUUGGUUAAUAUUCAGAGCAUUCAGGUCCAUUUUUGCUCUUCUUUACUUCAUUGAAACAAACAGAAGAACUUCAACUCUUUAGAGCAACAAGUAUGAAUAUAUUUGCGCCACAUUGAAAGAGAUAUCGACUACUUUGACCGUGAGUCUGUGACUUGUUCAACUUUCUCAGUAUGUGGUUUUUUUAUAGCAGGAGACAUGUAGUCUACAUAUGAUAUUUCUAAACAACUUUUCUUAUAUUAAUACUAACUUCAUCAUAUUAACUAUUCAGA